GAUGAAGAACGUAGCGAAAUGCGAUAAGUAAUGUGAAUUGCAGAAUUCAGUGAAUCAUCGAAUCUUUGAACGCACCUUGCACCCUUUGGUAUUCCGAAGGGUAUGCUCGUUUGAGUGUCAUUGUACUCUCACACUUCUAAUUCCUUUCGGGAUUGGGAGCGGUGGACUUGGGUGUUGCUGCUUUAGUUGUGGCUCACCUCAAAUAAGUUAGUGCAACUCUUGGUUGGACAUAGUACGGCGUGAUAAGUGUCUUCGCCGGCGCCUCUGUAAGGAGGGUGGCCGAUCGGGAGCUCUGUGCUUCAAACCGUCUUCGGACAAUCUUUGACAACUUGACCUCCAAUCGAGUAGGACUACCCGCUGAACUUAAGCAUAUCAAUAAGCGGAGGA
rnacentral:misc_RNA from 1 species